rnacentral:rRNA from 1 species
GGAGUCUAGCAUGUGCGCGAGUCAUUGGGACGAUGCGAAACCUAAAGGCGAAAUGAAAGUGAAGGCGCGCCUAGCGCGCGCCGAGGGAGGAUGGGUCGCGCUCGUCGCGGCCUCGCACUCCCGGGGCGUUUCGUUCUCAUCGCGAGAAGAGGCGCACCCAGAGCGUACACGCUGGGACCCGAAAGAUGGUGAACUAUGCCUGGUCAGGACGAAGUCAGGGGAAACCCUGAUGGAGGUCCGUAGCGAUUCUGACGUGCAAAUCGAUCGUCGGAACUGGGUAUAGGGGCGAAAGACUAAUCGAACCAUCUAGUAGCUGGUUCCCUCCGAAGUUUCCCUCAGGAUAGCUGGCGCUCGCUUUGCGAGUCUCAUCCGGUAAAGCGAAUGAUUAGAGGCAUUGGGGUCGAAACGGCCUCAACCUAUUCUCAAACUUUAAAUGGGUGAGAACUCCGGCUUGCUUAAACGGUGAAGCCGCGAGUUAUUUGAAAGGAUCAGGGUGCCAAGUGGGCCACUUUUGGUAAGCAGAACUGGCGCUGUGGGAUGAACCAAACGCAGAGUUAAAGCGCCCAAAUCGACGCUUAUGGGAUACCAUGAAAGGCGUUGGUAACUUAAGACAGCAGGACGGUGGCCAUGGAAGUC